AGAGAGAGAGAGAAUUGAGCUCCUAUGCUUUUAGAAAUACUAAGCUAUUGGCACAAGUAGGUUUUCGAGCCUUGAAUUAAGGAAUGUGCUCGUAGGUUUUCGGUCCUUGUAGUUAGGAUGAUAGCGGUUCCGUAGGGUUGAGUGGGUGAUUGCUUGAAUAGUAUGAUCUAACGGUAAUUUAACGGAUGAAAAUAGUCAGAGAAAUAGAUCUAACGGCGAAAAACUUACAAGAUCCUAAUGCUUUGUGGUUUUAAAAGCACUAUAGCCAUACUAUAAAUAUGCAUACAAGUAUAUAUAAAUAGAGUUAGGCUGGAAUAUUAUUGAUAGCAAAAGACCUUUUUUGCUAUCAAGUUUUUAACCAUUUGAUGAAAAAUUGUAGGGUUAGAAUGAAAUUUGAUAUAUAUAUAUAUAUAUAUAUAUAUAUAUACACACACACACAGUGGGUUAUAUUAAGAAGAGUUCGGGUGGAAUAUUGGUUGAAUUAUAUAUAUACACACACAGAGUGGGUCAUAUUAAGAAGAUCAGGUUAGGUGGAUGGGUGGUUGGUUGAAUAGUACAAUCUAAUGGAUGGAAAUGAUCAAAGAAUAGAUCUAACGGCAGAAAGCUCGAUAUAUAGUAUUAAGAGCUUGGUACUAUCGAUAAUAUAGUAGCCGGACUCUAUACAUAUACACAAACAGUGGGUCAUAUUAAGAAGUGGUUCGGCAUUUGGAUUGGCGAAUAGAUUGUAGUCAUUAGGCGCUUGCAUGUUGCAACUUAAUCUCAUGAGUGAGAAUAUAAGUUUGGUCAUCGAUCAACGUGAUGAUUCCGGCACAAGAGUAUUCUUAAAUAUUCCUUUGAGAACAAGUUUUCUUAAUUAGGACACAGUCGAAACUCAAUCUUUCAUAGAUUUAAAGAUCCAAUUUAUAUAUAUAUAUAUAUAGAGUGAGGCUACUAUGCUUCUGCAAGCACGGAGCUAGCCUUCCGUGCUUGUAGGUCGUUUUUCAUGUUGUGAUUUUAAAAUCGUCGAUCGGCUUCGUUAAAUUUGAUCUAGAGUAUUUGAAGUAGUUAGAAAAUAAAUUAUGCAAUUUUUUGAUAUUAUUUGCCUAGUGAACGAAGGGGCUCAAAAGCAACGGCUGAAAAUAAAAAUCUUACAAAACGUAAUAAUAUGACAUUAAAAUUUUAGAUCAAAGAUAUUGAUCUUGUUUUAUAUAAUAUAAAAAAUUUUCUAUCAAAAUUUCAUGUGAUUUGGAUAUUUCUACACCGUUAAACUUGCAAACGGCUCACUACGACCAUUAAAAUUAUUGAUUUUGAGCCCCUUCGAUCACUAGGCAAAUGAUAUCGAAAAAUCAUAAAAUUUAUUUUCUAGAUACUUCAAAUACUCUAGAUCAAAUUUAACGGAGCCGAUCGACGAUUCGAAAGUCACAACAUCGAAAACGACCUGGAAGCACGGAAGGCUCCGUGCUUCCAGAAGCAUAGUAGCCUCUCACA
rnacentral:lncRNA from 1 species